CAGACACACCGCCGAAGCGAGACAGACCGGCCGCGCAUCUGAGCGUUGGCCUGUUGGUUCACCCGUCUGCCUGCUUUUCUAUUUUUGGAUUUAGCUUGGUUUGGUGGGCUCCAGGCGAAUCCUCGCGUUCCUUCUGAACUUCGACAUGACACCGCUGCACUAUUGGACUAUGGCAAGCUGACAUCGUCUGGUGGAGCUUCCUACGGAAACUACUGCUGCUUACCUGGUGCCACAACGUUGGAUGGAUGCACAAGCCCGGAACGAGCAUUUAUAAAUAAAACAAACAUUUCCUCAUUACACAAGGCGUCUUGCGCCUUUAUGAAAUUGCACGUGGCACAUAUUCGAUGGCGGCUUGUGAAGAUCGUUGGCCAUCAAUUUUACUUAAUAAUAAAACGAUUUCGCGCGAAGAGCGCGCGCGGUUGAGCUGUAGAAAAAAAAAAGAAA